rnacentral:tRNA from 1 species
CGCGGGGUGGAGCAGCCUGGNAGCUCGUCGGGCUCAUAACCCGAAGGUCGUCGGUNCAAAUCCGGCCCCCGCAACCA